GUGCCAGCAGCCGUGGUAAUACCGGCAGCCCAAGUGAUGGCCGAUCUUAUUGGGCCCAAAGCGUCCGUAGCUGGCUGCGCAAGUCCGUCGGGAAAUCCACUCGCCCAACGAGUGGGCGUCCGACGGAAACUGCACAGCUUGGGACCGGAAGGCUCGAAAGGUACGCUCGGGGUAGGAGUGAAAUCCCGUAAUCCUGGACGGACCGCCGAUGGCGAAAGCACUUCGAGAAAACGGAUCCGACAGUGAGGGACGAAAGCCAGGGUCUCCAACCGGAUUAGAUACCCGGGUAGUCC
rnacentral:rRNA from 1 species